rnacentral:rRNA from 1 species
UACGUAGGGUGCGAGCGUUAAUCGGAAUUACUGGGCGUAAAGCGUGCGCAGGCGGUUUUGUAAGCCAGAUGUGAAAUCCCCGGGCUUAACCUGGGAAUGGCAUUUGGGACUGCAAGGCUGGAGUGCGGCAGAGGAGACUGGAAUUCCUGGUGUAGCAGUGAAAUGCGUAGAUAUCAGGAGGAAUACCGAUGGCGAAGGCAGGUCUCUGGGCUGACACUGACGCUCAUGCACGAAAGCGUGGGGAGCAAACGAGG